rnacentral:tRNA from 1 species
GAAUCGUGUAGCUCAGUGGUAGAGUGCAUGCUUUGUAUGUAUGAUGUCCUGGGUCCAAUCCCCAGCUUCU